UACGUCCAGAUCACGUUGAAACACCGGUUUCCGUACAAUCACCAAAGUUAAGCAAUGUCAAUCCUGUUCAGUACUUCGAUGGGUGACUGCUUUGGAAAACUAUGUAGUGUA